CCUACGGGAGGCAGCAGUGGGGAAUAUUGGACAAUGGGGGAAACCCUGAUCCAGCGACGCCGCGUGAGUGAAGAAGUAUUUCGGUACGUAAAGCUCUAUCAGCAGGAAAGAAAAUGACGGUACCUGACUAAGAAGCCCCGGCUAACUACGUGCCAGCAGCCGCGGUAAUACGUAGGGGGCAAGCGUUAUCCGGAUUUACUGGGUGUAAAGGGAGCGUAGACGGCAGCGCAAGCCUGGAGUGAAAUGCCGGGGCCCAACCCCGGAACUGCACUGGAAACUGUAAAGCUGGAGUGUAGGAGAGGUAAGCGGAAUUCCUGGUGUAGCGGUGAAAUGCGUAGAUAUCAGGAGGAACACCGGCGGCGAAGGCGGCUUGCUGGACGGUAACUGACGUUGAGGCUCGAAGGCGUGGGGAGCAAACAGGAUUAGAUACCCGAGUAGUC
rnacentral:rRNA from 1 species